ACUAACAGGAUUCCCCUAGUAACUGCGAGUGAAGCGGGAAAAGCUCAAAUUUAAAAUCUGGUAGGUCUUUGGCUGCCCGAGUUGUAAUCUAGAGAAGCGUUAUCCGCGCUGGACCGUGUACAAGUCUCCUGGAACGGAGCGUCAUAGAGGGUGAGAAUCCCGUCUUUGACACGGACUACCAGGGCUUUGUGAUGUGCUCUCAAAGAGUCGAGUUGUUUGGGAAUGCAGCUCUAAAUGGGUGGUAAAUUCCAUCUAAAGCUAAAUAUUGGCGAGAGACCGAUAGCGAACAAGUACCGUGAGGGAAAGAUGAAAAGAACUUUGGAAAGAGAGUUAAACAGUACGUGAAAUUGUUGAAAGGGAAACGCUUGAAGUCAGUCGCGUUUGCCGGGGAUCAACCUUGCUUCUUGCUUGGCUUACUUCCKGGU
rnacentral:rRNA from 1 species